CCUUUGACGUUAGCGGCGGACGGGUGAGUAACACGUGGGUAACCUACCUAUAAGACUGGGAUAACUUCGGGAAACCGGAGCUAAUACCGGAUAAUGUUUCGAACCGCAUGGUUCGAUAGUGAGAGGUGGUUUUGCUAUCACUUAUAGAUGGACCCGCGCCGUAUUAGCUAGUUGGUAAGGUAACGGCUUACCAAGGCGACGAUACGUAGCCGACCUGAGAGGGUGAUCGGCCACACUGGAACUGAGACACGGUCCAGACUCCUACGGGAGGCAGCAGCC
rnacentral:rRNA from 1 species